GAAAAGAGGGGCUGAAUACUUUUUUUGGGGUAUGAGAUUUGUAUGGGCUUCUAUCUUCUUUGGUGUGAACAAAGGAAGAGAUCUAUCUCCUCCCAUGUGAGAGACCUAGAACUGUUCUAGGGUUUCUGGGUGAGGGAAAACCAAAGAGAAGAGUGUCUUCAUCUAUUUUUUCUCUAUCAUUCAGCAUCCUCUUCUGAUCCAUCUUCAACAUCAAAA
rnacentral:lncRNA from 1 species